CCUCAGCCCACUGGUAGAUGGAGGAGGGUGACAAUGAACUAAGAGAUUUAUUGGGACUUUAGAGGGCCGAUUAAUCUGUCUGAGGUCAAACUCUGCGCGACCUUCAUGCUGCUCACCUUCAGGGAGGGGCAGCAGGGUGAUGGCUGUGCUGAGACGGCCACUCCCCAGGCUCACCAGAUGGGGGCGCUCCGCCUGGACCUUCAGCCCCUUGCCUGUCUCGAUCAGGUCCAACGCGGUGCUCUGCGGUGGAGAAAGGAAGCCGGGUUAAUCGCAUCGGCCCACCAAGUGGCAGCAAGACGUUGACCGGCCACAUGCAAAGCCCCCGCCCGUCACACGGAUUCCCGGGGGCCCCCGGGGGCCCCAGGGGCCAGUCCUGUUUGGGGGAGUCUGUUGCCGUGGAGGUGAGCGAUAGCCUGAGCGUGCCCGCUAGCCUCACACCCCGAGCAGCGUGG